UCCGUAGGCGGCCGUGUGUGUCGGGUGUGAAAUCCUGCAGCUUAACUGUAGAAUUGCGCCCGAAACUACACGGCUAGAGUAUUGGAGAGGUGAGUGGAAUUCCAGGUGUAGCGGUGAAAUGCGUAGAUAUCUGGAGGAACACCAACGGCGAAGGCAGCUCACUGGACAAUUACUGACGCUGAGGGACGAAAGUGUGGGGAGCAAAAG
rnacentral:rRNA from 1 species